GUCUAUAGCCAUACUACCUUGAAUGCAUCUAAUUUCAUCUGAUCUCAGAAGCUAAGCAGAGUUGGGCCUGGUUAGUCCUUAGAUGGGAAACCAAUUGGGAAUAUGGGAUACUGUAGGCU
ensembl:rRNA 5S_rRNA 5S ribosomal RNA